UCAGAUGUGGUGCAUGGGGCACGCCCGCUUGCAAUAAUGCUUCUUGAAGGUAAAGCGGGAGACCUGGGUUCAAUUCCCGGUGUCUGAA